UACGGGGGGGGCAAGCGUUGUUCGGAAUUACUGGGCGUAAAGGGCUCGUAGGUGGCCAACUAAGUCAGACGUGAAAUCCCUCGGCUUAACCGGGGAACUGCGUCUGAUACUGGAUGGCUUGAGUUUGGGAGAGGGAUGCGGAAUUCCAGGUGUAGCGGUGAAAUGCGUAGAUAUCAGGAGGAACACCGGUGGCGAAGGCGGUUCUCUGGGCCUUACCUGACACUGAGGAGCGAAAGCGUGGGGAGCGAACAGG
rnacentral:rRNA from 1 species